GUGGGUUACGGGGACAUGUGCCCAGUGACUAUUGGGGGCAAAAUUGUGGGCUCUCUUUGCGCCAUCGCUGGUGUGUUGACGAUUGCACUACCAGUUCCUGUAAUUGUGUCCAAC
rfam:Astyanax mexicanus chromosome 7, whole genome shotgun sequence.